rnacentral:rRNA from 1 species
UACAGAGGUCCCAAGCGUUGUUCGGAUUCACUGGGCGUAAAGGGUGCGCAGGCGGUGGCCCGCGUGGGCGGUGAAAGCUCCUGGCUCAACUGGGAGAGGGCCGUCCAGACGGGGUCACUUGAGGGGCGGAGAGGGGCGUGGAAUUCCGGGUGGAGCGGUGAAAUGCGUUGAUAUCCACAGGAACUCCGGUGGCGAAAGCGGUGUGCUGGAUCCUUUCUGACGCUGAUGCGCGAAAGCCAGGGGAGCAAACGGG